UACGUAGGGUGCAAGCGUUAAUCGGAAUUACUGGGCGUAAAGCGUGCGCAGGCGGCUUUGCAAGACAGAUGUGAAAUCCCCGGGCUUAACCUGGGAACUGCAUUUGUGACUGCAUGGCUGGAGUGCGGCAGAGGGGGGUAGAAUUCCACGUGUAGCAGUGAAAUGCGUAGAGAUGUGGAGGAAUACCGAUGGCGAAGGCAGCCCCCUGGGAUAACACUGACGCUCAUGCACGAAAGCGUGGGGAGCAAACAGG
rnacentral:rRNA from 1 species